UGCAUAUCCAAAAAGCGGAGGAAAAGAAACCAACAGGGAUUGCCUUAGUAGCGGCGAGUGAAGCGGCAAAAGCUCAAAUUUGAAAUCUGGCGCCUUCGGUGUCCGAGUUGUAAUUUGAAGAUUGUAACCUUGGGGUUGGCUCUUGUCUAUGUUUCUUGGAACAGGACGUCACAGAGGGUGAGAAUCCCGUGCGAUGAGAUGCCCAAUUCUAUGUAAGGUGCUUUCGAAGAGUCGAGUUGUUUGGGAAUGCAGCUCUAAGUGGGUGGUAAAUUCCAUCUAAAGCUAAAUAUUGGCGAGAGACCGAUAGCGAACAAGUACAGUGAUGGAAAGAUGAAAAGAACUUUGAAAAGAGAGUGAAAAAGUACGUGAAAUUGUUGAAAGGGAAGGGUUUGAGAUCAGACUCGAUAUUUUGUGAGCCUUGCCUUCGUGGCGGGGUGACCCGCAGCUUAUCGGGCCAGCAUCGGUUUGGGCGGUAGGAUAAUGGCGUAGGAAUGUGACUUUACUUCGGUGAAGUGUUAUAGCCUGCGUUGAUGCUGCCUGCCUAGACCGAGGACUGCGAUUUUAUCAAGGAUGCUGGCAUAAUGAUCCCAAACCGCCCGUCUUGA
rnacentral:rRNA from 1 species